CCAGAACUGGUCACCAGGGCAGCUGCUGAGCAGAAGCAACAAAGCUUCCCUCCCUUACAGGGGAGGCACCUGGGACCCACACACCAAUCUGCUCCAUCCUGACCCUCAGAUAAGGAGGAAGAACAGGGGACAGCAAGGACCUAUGUCUUAUUCGGACCUGGACACAGGAGAUGCCUGGUGCAGGGUGCUGCCCUGGACGAGAAGAGGAUGAAGCCCUGAGUUCCCACGCCUCUCCGUUCCUACUUAACCUCUUGGCCUGGCGUUCCCCAUCUAUUGCAGGGUGAGGCCUGAUCCUGCUGGUCCAAGACCCACACUACAAGAAGUUCAGCUCCAGUGUCCAGGGAUGAGAGUUUGAGACCUGCCUCUGCCGGUAGUGAACGUGUUGGCUUGGACAGCCUCACAUCGCUGAGCCUCAGAGUCACGCUUUAGAAAAGAGAAAAACAUCUCCAGGGGUGCCUGCUGCAGGGCAAGGUCACCACAAGGGCACAGUCAAAGGCUGCCCAGGAAGGCCUCUGUAUACUUAAAGAGAGGGGCACGUCUGACAGCGAGCACUCCUCGUCCUGGCGGGUGUGGGGUCGGCGGCGGGGGGGUCCCCAUCCUGCAACUCAGCCCUGGCCAGGAGGGCACUCCUGGGUUCCUGUUUACCGGGCAUAGCUGAUACUAACUGGCCGGCAGAUUGCUUUUUGCAACCAUGUGAGCACCUCCAUUCGCAUUCCUCUGACUUCAAAACAGCUUUUCUUUCAAGUAAACAAGUAGGUCUCAUCAUAUAUAGGUUACCUAAGUGAGGAUUUCUGGAAUGUUCCUAAAUGAGACUAAACAUCUGAAGAUUUUGUGAGAUUCAUCAUUAUAAACACCCAUGUAUGAUGCCUGUUUAAUUUACAAAGAGGCCUGUGGCUUCUUAAAAUACCUUCUACUAUUCAUCUAUCCAACACAUCUGAGAGUAGCUGAUAUUUGUAUGUGGGGCACAGUAACACACCACAGAACUCCCUUGAGAUGAGAACCCCAGCAGGGCUCAGGAGCCAGCCCCACAGCAUGCCGGGAAUAACCCUGCCAACACCAAACCAUGGGCAAGAGUCCCCACAGCUGUGCCUCAGGCAGUCCACAGAGCAAAGGGCCUGCAUUACUGCGAGCUGGGACGGCUGGCCUGCAUUCCAGAGAGCAUACCCUAAAGCCUGACUGCAUUCCAGGAGCAGCUUUGCAGGGACAGUCACCUUGCCACACUUACUGUUACCUGUGGCUCCUAGAAGCUGCUGCUGGGACAAGCUCACCUCCCUGAUAUUGAUGUAGACAUUCAAUAAAUGGUGCAUACUCCAGCGGAUACAUUUGCCCCGUAUGGGCCCUGAAAGGUCAGAUCGAUGUCCAAAUCCCGUUUGACAUUUUCCCCAAGCAGGCCCUCCCACACUAAGCACUUUCUGAAUAAAGAAAUACUUUUAAAGUGGCCAAGGCUACAAAAGAAAA